rnacentral:misc_RNA from 1 species
AACAUUUAUAUUUGUAAUACAUAUUUUACUAAAUAUAUAUUUUUAGAAAUGAACAUUGCAAGAGCUUAAUAUAUUGUCACUGUAAUUACUUAUGACGAACACGGACUCGAUACGCAAAACAAGAUGGCGGCGAAAAAUCAAUACGUACCCGGUAACACAAAGACAUGCGCGCGCAAUAUAUCCGCCAUUAUUAAUCGCACUAACUAAACAAAAUGGCGGAACAGAUGUCUACAAGUUCGUUUCUUACCGACAAGAUUGAAUAUUUUUUCUGAUUUUACAAUUUUGUAAUCGCGAAAAUAAGGAACAUGUAGAUAUAUUUUUACUUUAGCGGUUAUAAAGGGCUUUGUCGAAACAUACCACGCCCUAUCGGUAAAGUCAACAUAGUUACAGGUGGUAUAUUUCCAAGUGCACCUGCGCAGUCGUGUGAAACGGGACCACGCAUGUCCAGUACCAAUCAAUAUCCGAAGAAGCUAGCACCGGUCCCGGGCUAACAGCUCAGUCGAGUCACGGGCGCGCUAAUACAAUGUCUCGUUUAUCUAACGAUGACACUUUAAAAGAAAUGAGCGAACCUGCCCAAAACGAAAUCGCCGAGAGCCCCACAAGGCAGGCCCGACCUAGCAACGUCUUGAACUUUUUCAAUUUGUUUUCCAUUUCUCUGGAUUAUUUCGCUGAUUCGUCGGGAAAAGUAGUGUUCACUAUUAUGUAAAUCAAUUAUAAUAUUCAAAUAACAUAUUGGUUUUUCUUUGGUGACAAUCUUAUCUGUGAAGAUCAGUGUUAUGUGUUUUAUUGAUGCUGUAUCAUCUAACUCUGGGUCAACUUAAAGGCGAUCCAGAAUAUUAACAUUUAACUCUGAGUUCGUGAACGCGGGUGCUGAGUGGACUAACAUAGUGUUCGGUGGUUUAGACAUAUCCGUCGGUCGAGUAG